rnacentral:rRNA from 1 species
AUUGAACGCUGGCGGCAGGCCUAACACAUGCAAGUAGAGCGAGCGGCGGACGGGUGAGUACUGUCUGGGAAACUGCAUGUAGGAGGCGGAUAACUACUGGAAACGGUAUCUAAUACCGCAUACCAUCAGAUUUGCCCAGAUGCGAUUAGCUAGUAGUUGGGGUAACAGCUCACCUAGGCGACGAUCCUUAGCUCGUCUGAGAGGAUGACCAGCCACACUGGAACUGAGAGACGGUCCAGACUCCUACGGGAGGCAGCAGUGGGGAAUCUGGCGCAAUGGGCGAAAGCCUGAUGGAGCCAGGCCGCGUGUGUGAAGAAGGCCUUCGGAUUGUAAAGCACUUUCGGCGGGGAGGCGUUAUCAGCCGAGGAAGCACCGGCUAACUCCGUGCCAGCAGCCGCGGUAAUAC